AACGAACGCUGGCGGCAGGCUUAACACAUGCAAGUCGAGCGCCCCGCAAGGGGAGCGGCAGACGGGUGAGUAACGCGUGGGAAUCUACAUCCCUACGAAACAACUCCGGGAAACUGGAGCUAAUACCGUAUACGUCCUUCGGGAGAAAGAUUUAUCGGGGAUGGAUGAGCCCGCGUUGGAUUAGCUAGUUGGUGGGGUAAAGGCCUACCAAGGCAACGAUCCAUAGCUGGUCUGAGAGGAUGAUCAGCCACACUGGGACUGAGACACGGCCCAGACUCCUACGGGAGGCAGCAGUGGGGAAUAUUGGACAAUGGGCGCAAGCCUGAUCCAGCCAUGCCGCGUGAGUGAUGACGGCCCUAGGGUUGUAAAGCUCUUUCACCGGUGAAGAUAAUGACGGUAACCGGAGAAGAAGCCCCGGCUAACUUCGUGCCAGCCGCCGCGGUAACAC
rnacentral:rRNA from 1 species